rnacentral:rRNA from 1 species
CCUACGGGUGGCAGCAGUGGGGAAUAUUGGACAAUGGGCGAAAGCCUGAUCCAGCCAUGCCGCGUGUGUGAAGAAGGCCUUCGGGUUGUAAAGCACUUUCAGUGGGGAAGAAAGCCUUGGGGCUAAUACCCUCGAGGAAGGACAUCACCCACAGAAGAAGCACCGGCUAACUCCGUGCCAGCAGCCGCGGUAAUACGGAGGGUGCGAGCGUUAAUCGGAAUUACUGGGCGUAAAGCGCGCGUAGGCGGUCUGAUAAGCCGGUUGUGAAAGCCCCGGGCUCAACCUGGGAACGGCAUCCGGAACUGUCAGGCUAGAGUGCAGGAGAGGAAGGUAGAAUUCCCGGUGUAGCGGUGAAAUGCGUAGAUAUCGGGAGGAAGACCAGUGGCGAAGGCGGCCUUCUGGACCGACACUGACGCUGAGGUGCGAAAGCGUGGGUAGCAAACAGGAUUAGAUACCCCAGUAGUC